GUAACUUUGUGUUUGAGCGGUGCAGACUCUAUAAGAGGUAAUGACCUAUUAGAGAAAAGAAUACGCUGAAUGAGCAGUCCUUGUUUACACUGCCCUAAAGUUUCAGUUGUCCAAUUAUUGACAAGAAAAUUGUAUCAAUGUUAACAGGCAUAAGUAUGAUACCUCAGAAAGGACCACGGCUUGCUCAGCGGCAGACUAAUGAGGCAAAUGUCCAUUUGGUUAAAACCGUAGUGGUGGAUCUUCUGGGAGAGGAAAAGUGCACUUCUUAGCAGAUGACAUAGAGGCUUUGCACAAGUUCCAUCCAGACAUCUCAAUCAAUUAUAACCACAUUGCACUGAUUUCACUCUUGUUAUUGACUCAUGGAUCACCCCAGUUAUAGUGUUGGGUAGCACACCACUGGGCUUUUAGGGUGCGCAUGAUGGAUAACAGUACAAGAUGCAUUUGCGAUGCCGGUAUAAAUAAGAACAAUUUUUAUUAAUUUUCUCUUUUUUUUUUUUUUUUGGGGAGCAACUAGUAAAUUUUAAUCUUAAAGAAAAACUGGGAAACUUUGUAAAGCUUUGACUACGAAUGCACCAAAGUGCUCCAUGUAAAGUGCAAUAAUCUUUGCAAACCAGAUAACCAAUAAAGUGUCAGGUAAAGCUGAAAAAGAGGUGAAAACUCAAUCACAGGAAGAGAUAACAUUAACCAAUACACUUAAAGAGAGUGAACUUGAUGAACAGACAAGAUUACAGAAAUGUUAUUGAGUUUGAA